rnacentral:lncRNA from 10 species
UGAACAAUAGGGAAUAGCUAUCGUAUCUUCAAAGCAGCUUUCCAAGAUCAAAUCCGUCGCAUCCGGAAUGCGUUUCUUUGACCUUGGAACCUCCAGGAGUGGCCAGGCUCCCCCACAGAUCACACGCAGCGUUGCCUAGAAGCCGGUAGCUCUCCCGUAGGACGCUGGGAAGCAUUCCCUUCCCUUCCCAAGAACCUGAGACAGGCGCAAUUACCUCCAUGGCUGAUAACCACUGUUCUAAUCCCAUGCUUGACUUAAAAUCAUCGUAUUUCAGACUUAAGAAGUCUAGACCCAGCUGAUUAAUCAGCCUUUCCCAGGAGCCAUCUGUGGGGUAGGAUCAGAAGAACCCCGGAAAUUUUCUGCCCACUGGGAAGAUUUCAUUUCACUGCUAUCUUUCAGGGAUGUCCUAGAGAGGGGCCGUAGUGCUGCAGCUGUCCACUUUUGGGUGGUGCCUGCAUAUCAUGCAGAACCAUCUGUGAACCAGGCCCUAGCCUUAUGUUCCUCUGUCAACUGAUCACAGGGAACUCCCCAUGAGGCCAAC